rnacentral:misc_RNA from 1 species
GCGCAUUUAAUGACUCUGAGCCAGUUGGCUGGCUAGAUACCACUGAAUUAUGAACGUCUUCAGAAUCAAUAGAAAAUUUGCCAGAUUCUAGUUCUUGAUGUUGUUGAUAACCAUUAGCAGGAGAUUCUUCCAUUUCACCCUGGGUACCCAAUUCAUUUCUCUCCUUAAUUGUACUAUAUGGAGAGGGCUCAUCACCGUAAGACUCUGAACCAAUAGUCCAGGACACGGAAUGAGAAGAGAAAAUUG